CGACAUAUCCUUCAAGUGUCUGCCUUAMCAACUGUCGAUGGUMGUUUAUUGGACUACCAUGGUUGUAACGGGUAACGGAGAAUUAGGGUUCGACUCCGSAGAGGGMGCCUGAGACUACGGCUACCACAUCCAAGGAASGCAGCACGGCGCGCAAAUUACCCACUCUCAGUUCGAGGAGGUAGUGACGAAAAAUAACGAGCACAGUCUUCUAUGAGCUCUGUCAUCGGAAUGGUACAAUUAAACC
rnacentral:rRNA from 1 species